rnacentral:rRNA from 1 species
CCUACGGGAGGCAGCAGUCGAGAAUUAUUCACAAUGGGGGAAACCCUGAUGGUGCGACGCCGCGUGGGGGAAUGAAGGUCUUCGGAUUGUAAACCCCUGUCAUGUGGGUGCAAAUUAAAAAGAUAGUACCACAAGAGGAAGAGACGGCUAACUCUGUGCCAGCAGCCGCGGUAAUACAGAGGUCUCAAGCGUUGUUCGGAAUCACUGGGCGUAAGGCGUGCGUAGGCUGUUUCGUAAGUCGUGUGUGAAAGGCGCGGGCUCAACCCGCGGACGGCACAUGAUACUGCGAGACUAGAGUAAUGGAGGGGGAACCGGAAUUCUCGGUGUAGCAGUGAAAUGCGUAGAUAUCGAGAGGAACACUCGUGGCGAAGGCGGGUUCCUGGACAUUAACUGACGCUGAGGCACGAAGGCCAGGGGAGCGAAAGGGAUUAGAUACCCUGGUAGUC